UGUUAUUUUCUAAUUUGAGAUGAUUAAUUUUCACAUUUUCUUAUUAAAUUUCACUUGAUAAUUAACAAUUUCUCCUGAAAUUGUAAAAAUUGCAAUUGUUUAACUAGAGCCAUCUAUUGGGUUACUUGAUCUUCUCCUAAUUUAAUCUUGGUCUUAUGAUUGAGUUUACUCAUUUACAAUUUUGUUUAUUCUUUUCUUGUGUUAAUUAAUUCGUCUGUUAAUUUGUUAUUUUUAUUUAAUUUUUGUUCCUUCAAAACUAAUCCAUAUCCUAAUCUAAUUCUGACACUAUAAAUUUUAAACGAAUCCUCAACAAUUUUCAAAGGCCUUGUGAAAUUUUUAAUAUCUUCUAUUCUCUCUCUCUCUGCCUGUCUACACCUAGUCAAAAGGAGCCUGAUUACUGUCUUUACCUUUCUGGUCCAUCCUUAAUAAUUUUUGAUUCUCUAUCUCUUCCUCUUCCUCUUUCUUAUUAUCUCUCUCCCUCUUUCUUUCUUUCUUUCUUUCUCUUUCUCUCUUUUCAUUCUUAUUCCCUGUUUCUGACUCUUUAUUACUCCACAACAACAACAUAUUUAUACAACUACAAUGGACAAAUCAGAGACUCUAAAUAAACGUCAAGGUAACAGUAAUAGUAGAUCAACGGGUAAUAGUAAUCCAGUGGAUAGGACAAACUUUCGUUCGUUAAUAUGUGAUGAAUCUGGUAUAAUAAUCGGUGAAAUGGUUUACCGUUGUUUAAUCUGUUCCUUUAUUAGUGUAUCAAUGGAUAAAAUUCGAGCUCAUUAUCAAACAGAACAUGUUGACAUUGAAGAUAUAAGUAAUGGUGAAUUUAGAUAUGUAAAUGAUGAUUAUUGUCCAUCACCAAGUGGCGAUUCUUUAAACGAUAAUCAACAGAAAGCAACAUCAACAACAACAUCAAAAGAAAAUCAAUCAACAAAUGAUUCUAUGAAAUGAAAAUAAUUGUUUCCCUCAUUUUUUAUAUUUUAUUUUAUAUUAAUAAACAAAAAAACUGCGUUGAUUUGACAUGAAAAGAAAA